AGCUAAACAAAACUUAUCACAAAUUAAAACCCAAUUCUAUUCUCUUCUUCCCCCUAGCUCACAUCAACCCUGCCUCACCACCCACCCUUACAAAGCAUCUUCUUCACGCCGCUGCUGCUGUCUCCUCACGCCGCUGCUGCUGUCUUCCACGCCGCCUCACGCCGCUGCUGCUGUCUUCCACGCCGCCUCACGCCGCCUCACGCCGCUGCUGCUGCCUUCGCCCUUGCUGCUACCGCCUUCGCUCUUGCCGCGUCGUCCUUGCCGCCGUCGUUGUUAGGUGAUGGAGGUGGGUUUGACACACCAUAGUCAUGUAAAAGAUGAUGAAGAAGAAGACGAAGAAGAGUAUGUUCUAAUUGAUCUUGAUGCUGUUUCUGAGCAAGUUGAAAUUCCACCAAAUGCUCCAUAUGUUCUAUCUGGUCUCGACACGUUGAGUCCAAUACUCAUUAUAGAUGACAAAUUGAAGCUGGUUGGAGAAUAUGAAGAAACCAUAGGAACAGGCUUGGUUUUCGCUGAAGAGGAAGCUGCCCCUGUGGUUCAUGAGGAGACAGGACCAUCAGAAGCAAAUCUUUUCUCUGGAGCAUAUAUUAUAGAUCCAAAUCAAGCUCCAGUUAAGCAAGUGAAGCCAGUUGCCCGCCUUCAGAAGAUUCUAAAGUUCAGAGUGUUGUUGGAUAAUGAUGUCCAAGAUACAUCAGUUGAAGUGAAUACAUGAGAUCUGUGAAUGAAGAUCCUUCUACCACAAACUCGAUGUGCUGUUUUAUACUGGGAUAAGAAUAUGGACCAUGUACUAGCAUAUGUUUCAUAGUUAUAGGUUCUUGCAUUUGCUUAGCAUUGGCCACUACGACAAGGUUGGUUAUCCAAAAGAAAGAAAAUAACAUGUGUUGCUGUGGUAACUUAGCUAGCUGAUACCCCAUGGUAAAUAUGGUAAGGUGGUCACCAAGGAUUGUGGGAAUGUUUUCAUUCUAUCCCUUUCACGACUGUUAGGGACUAAUUGGAAAAGACUUGCUUCAGAGUACAGGUUGAAAGAGUUACUUUUAGGGGUACAGCUGCGGAACAAAAUGUCAGAAUAAUCAACUAUAUAAAGAAAAUGUAACUUGAACACCUACAACAGAGAUAUCAGGGAGAUCCAAAAUCAUGGAAAUGUUAAGAGUAAUAACACCAUGAUCGGGUAUUUCAUAGGAAACAAGAUCCAGGACCCUGAAAUCAACAUGGUUAAAUUUCAGUACAGCCUGAAACAACCUGCAACUAGAAAUGAUUGAUCUAGAUGUUGCUUGCAAAAGCUCAAUAACAGCAAGCACAGGUAUUUGAACAUUUUGUCUCCCAACACUACAACAGAAUACUUGGAUAAAACAACUGUUAUUGGUAAAACCACAGAAAACUUUCUUGUUAGCAAAUUACUGUUAUUUGUUGAAGACCACACAGCAUCAUUCAUCUUGUGUUGAAAAUUGAUGCUUACCCAUACAAGAUGUAAACUACGCAGGUUCUUUUGACUAGCUGUGCAGAUGUUUGGUUCAAGUAGUUGUCCCUUACAUGCAAA